rnacentral:rRNA from 1 species
UACAGAGGGGGCAAGCGUUAUUCGGAAUUAUUGGGCGUAAAGGGCGCGUAGGCGGCUUUGCAAGUGACGGGUGAAAGCCCUCGGCUUAACCGAGGAACUGCCUGUCAGACUGUAAGGCUUGAGACCGGGAGAGGUGAGUGGAAUUCCUGGUGUAGCGGUGAAAUGCGCAGAUAUCAGGAAGAACACCGAUGGCGAAGGCAGCUCUCUGGGACGGUACUGACGCUGAGACGCGAAAGCGUGGGGAGCGAACAGG